AGGAUCAUUACCGAGUGAGGGCCCUCUGGGUCCAACCUCCCACCCGUGUUUAUUUUACCUUGUUGCUUCGGCGGGCCCGCCUUAACUGGCCGCCGGGGGGCUCACGCCCCCGGGCCCGCGCCCGCCGAAGACACCCUCGAACUCUGUCUGAAGAUUGUAGUCUGAGUGAAAAUAUAAAUUAUUUAAAACUUUCAACAACGGAUCUCUUGGUUCCGGCAUCGAUGAAGAACGCAGCGAAAUGCGAUACGUAAUGUGAAUUGCAAAUUCAGUGAAUCAUCGAGUCUUUGAACGCACAUUGCGCCCCCUGGUAUUCCGGGGGGCAUGCCUGUCCGAGCGUCAUUGCUGCCCUCAAGCACGGCUUGUGUGUUGGGCCCCGUCCUCCGAUCCCGGGGGACGGGCCCGAAAGGCAGCGGCGGCACCGCGUCCGGUCCUCGAGCGUAUGGGGCUUUGUCACCCGCUCUGUAGGCCCGGCCGGCGCUUGCCGAUCAACCCAAAUUUUUAUCCAGGUUGACCUCGGAUCAGGUAGGGAUACCCGCUGAACUUAAGCAUAUCAAUAAGCGGAGGAA
rnacentral:rRNA from 1 species